UACGUAGGGUGCGAGCGUUGUCCGGAAUUAUUGGGCGUAAAGAGCUCGUAGGCGGCCUGUCGCGUCGGAUGUGAAAACCCGAGGCUCAACCUCGGGCCUGCAGUCGAUACGGGCAGACUAGAGUGCUGUAGGGGAGACUGGAACUCCUGGUGUAGCGGUGAAAUGCGCAGAUAUCAGGAGGAACACCGGUGGCGAAGGCGGGUCUCUGGGCAGUAACUGACGCUGAGGAGCGAAAGCGUGGGGAGCAAACAGG
rnacentral:rRNA from 1 species